GUCAAACAACGCUCGUUAGAGGCUUAACUCCAUGCAAGGAAAAAGAUUCCAUAGGUGGAACUUGGGGCGGCCACCAAUCUAAUUCAACAGUUGAAUGAAAUCAAAACCAGAACAAACUGAACUAGAAUCUAGACCCUGCAGUCUAGUCCCUGGUCCCAGUGGCCACCCUAGAUGGAACGUCUAUUAAACAGGAGUUGAUGCAUUUUUCAACCCUAAUAGAGCCAACUAAAAAGAAAUUUGGUCUUUGUCUGCUUUUAAUUAAUACAGGACACAAUUCUUAAAAAAAAAAAAAAA
rnacentral:misc_RNA from 1 species